AAGGUUUUAAGUUAAUUAAACUACCAACCUUCAAAGUUGGAAAUAUUCCAAAUUUAAGCCUUA
rnacentral:tRNA from 1 species